GUUGGGAGCGCCGGCUCCAGGCUCCUGGGGGGACUGCUGCUUCCCUCGAGGGGCCGCCGAGGCAAGCGGACCGUGGGGAGGCCUGCCCAGCCACCGCGGGACGGUCUCCCGAAGCCGCGCGGCAGGCGCUCCAGGAAGGGGUCUGGUUAAUCACUUAUUUUCAAAGAAUCAACCCCCCCAAACAAUGCAACGCAAUUUAUGAAACGGGAGGAAGAGAGAGAAGAGUGAGGCACGGAGUGCUGAGUGAUUUUCCAUGGAGGGCACUCGGCUGGUGGCAAGGGGCACAGACAGACUUCAUGCUGGGGCCCCAAGUGUCAGGCCCACAGUCUGACUGGCAGUCAUCGUGCUUUGUCCUCACCCCCCAUCCAGCCCCCAUGCUCAGGCCAGCGCUCUCCCUCGAGGUGGAUACGGCUGUGGACCCAGGAUGUGGCCGUAGGGAAUGCUGGGGUGAGCUAGACUCAGGGCUGUGUCCAAGCCGCCCACAGGCCUGGGGCUGCCCCUCCCCGAGGCUGUUCCUUCCAGACCCCCGAGAAGCAAAAAUGUGCCUUUCCUCAAACUCCUCGGCCCCAGGACGCAAUGAAGACGAGAGAGGGUGGGAGUGGUCUGGGCUCACAGCCUCGAAUUGCUUCACAUGGGCUCAGAGUCCAGUCCAGUCCAGUCCAGGCGAUAUAGGAAUGGCCCCCAGGCAGGUUGUGUUGACCGAUGCAAACUACUCCCCAAUUACGGGACGGUUUAAAUCAAAACACUUAAACCUCCGUCUUAAACCCAGCUGGUGUGGCUUUCAUCUCUUCUUUCCCAGGGAAUAAGAAAGUCAUGAUGACACCAGAAAGCAUCGUGCCCCUCUGCACGUGGCCCAGCUGGCUUUCUCCUCCACCGUGAGCCCCAUGCUCAGAGCCAGGUCCUGAUGUCAUCAUGUGACCUCAGGCAAGCUUGUCCCUCCCUGGGCCUCAGACCCCCAUCUUCUCCCUGUCAGUCGAGAAGGAGGGUCUCUAGGAGUGGUCUAUGCUCACAUCUGCAAGGGAGCCUUGUGUGCAGGGCUUGUGUGCUGGCCCCACAGGCGCCACCUCCACCCGCUCCCCAGACCACCCAGUAAGGGGCCCUGGGGGUCUAGCAGCAGGGCGGGUGCUGGCCGUGCUUGCCCUCAGCCCCCCUGCAGCACAACUGGGGGUUGUCCCCGUCGUCCCAGAGGAUGGCUGGGGAGCAAGCCACCAGAGACCCCCAAGUUAGUCGGGGGUCUCUCAGCUGGUGUCUGGGACCUCCCCUCUCCCACAUUUGUACUUUUCACCACGUAGUUGGAGUCCAGAUGCUUCCAGAACACCAUGGAUUUUCAGUUCAUUUGCAAUCUAAGGACAGUGAUUGAGGAUGACCUGACAUCAGUCGCAAGAGCCUUGUCCCUGCCCACCCAGGUCAUGGCCCGGGAGGACUUCUGCCGCGGUUGCGGCCACAAGUGCACAGGGUGGAGUGCAGGUGAUUUUUUAUGUUCGUUGCCUCUUCUUCUGUUUUCCCAAGUCUCUGCAGUGGGAUUUGUAAUCAGAAAAGGAAGGAGCCAGAUGUGGCAUUCUGCCUGCUGGAGGUCCCGUGGAGGCUGACAGAGACCAACGCACAUUUCUGGCAGCCCCGAGCACAGUUACCAAUGACCCAGGGCUCCACUCGCUGGCCAGUGGUCCCAGGGCGAGCCCUCUGUGUGGCACUGACCCCCAGCCCAGGAGGAGCAGCCUCUCCCCUCCUCCCGCCCCGGCUCCAGCUCCCUGCCCUGUGGCUGGUCAGCAAGUGGCUGGAGCACCCCUGCCCGCUGCCUCCUGCACCAGCCACAGCCAGAGAGCCCGUUCAGGGCUGCGGUGGGAACACCUGCACUCAGCUGACAAUUACCUGGUGGAUGCUGCCUGUCUAGCCCCCCCCCCCCCAAGGUAGGGGGAAGUCACAGCCCCUUUCCCUCCAAAGAGUUUGUGGCACAAAUCUGGUCAUCCCCCUGGUGGUACAGCCAGGAUGCCCGGGACACCUGCAGCGCACGUUGGCCUGGGGCCCCUCCCUAGCCUCGCUCGUCUCCUGGGCCCCUGGCCCACCCUGCGCAGCAGACCACAGCAUCCUGCCUCUGGCCUAGCCCAGGCGUGAUGGCCAGCCUCUCACAGGGUCCCCUUGCUCCCCAGAAGAGGGCCCGGGAGCUCUCUGGGGCCUCACAAUGGCCAGACUUCAAGGUCAGAGUCAGCAGUGCCCUUGGAAGUUGCUCCCCUCACUCUCCCUGCCUCUGCCCCAGCGUUGGCCCCUGGUUAGGGCCUCACCUGGUAUUCCUGCCCCCAGGCCGGGGGUGGGACCUCACGAAAACACGGGAAAAGUUUUGUGACUCUCCCCUGAAAAAACUCCCGCCCUGGGCGGAAGCUCCUCCCUCCGCUGCUCGAGGACUUGACCGGCUCCUCUGCCUUUCGCCUUGCGCGGGGAUGCUUCACUGGGCCCUCGGUUCGCGCCUCCGAGGCAGGCAAGGCCAGCGUCAUCGCGCCCACGGCGGAGAAGAGAAGGAAAUAGUACUCCGGUGAAGCCAGUGAGAGCUGAUCAUCCAAUUUCCACGAGGUCUCGGAGGUGCAGGCGCCAGCAACUGUUUGGACUGAACUCCCAUCCGUGUGGCUCGAGGUUUAGCGUCGACCCUGGGCCCCCAGCCGCUCCCGGCCGCCGCAGGUAGGGUGUCGGGGAGGCCUGGGCAGGCCAACGGAUACCUGAAGCUCUGCCGUUCCUGCAUGCACAGUCUUUCACUUCCAGUGCGGCCAAGCCCGCAGGCUCUCGCUGUGUCUCUCCUUAUGAGGCCAGAAGCUCAAUCACUGAUGCCGUAAGAUACAGCUCCCACUGGGCCUGGCCCCCAGGGAGCUCAGGGGCCAAAGGAGGCCUCAUCUCAGCCCCAAGGCCAUGCGCUCUCCCUCUGCUCCCACCCUGCUUCCUUUCACGCCGCCUCCUGCCAAACCCACCUCCAAGUCAGAUGCUGUGACCCACCCUCUGGCCGUGUGGUCCCCAAAGGCCAGCAUGCACACAGGCCCUCCUGCCACCAAGAGAAAGAUUGGGGAGGUCAGGGGCCCUAGUUCUUGUGGGUCUUCAGCCCCGCCCUUACCCUGUGCUCCAUGACCCCGGGGUGGUCCUGGGCACUGGGCUGUUCCUGCUCCCCCUCGUCCCUGAGGGGUGCUCAUGCAUCCUCUGCCCAGGUGCUCCAGCACGCUGGGACUUGACGGAACCACCCGAACCCCUCGUCGGUCCUCUAUCUUGGCUUCUUGGGGUUCGGAAUACAGUCAGUCAGCUUUACAUUUCCAUCUGCACUGAUGCUGGAGAGAUGGACGUGAGAGGGAUUUAGAAAGCAUGGUGCCAGGGGCGGGGUUAACGUCAGGGAGGCUUCUGCUGUGAGCCUCAAAGUGCUCUGGAAACUGACGUCCGUCCGCGGCCACGUCAGUGCACGACCAGCACCAGCCUCAGCCCCGCGGCGCCUCUCCCCUUCACCAGGGCAUUUCCUCCCACAGCCACGCAGCAGAGGGAGUGUCACAUGCUUCAGGCCACAGCCCGCCUGAGGCAGAACCCCGGGGCCACACCUAGCCCCCUGCACCCGAGGGCAUCCGUAGUGCAGCGCCCGGGGCAGGGGCACGGGGUGAGGGCUGAGGCCCCAGGUCCCAGAGACACGACUCUUGGGGUCCCACCGUCCCUUCACCUACAGGAAAGGGAGCCCUGGGGACGACCGGCUGCCCGUGGCGUCGGGAGCGGGGUAGGGCCUGGCCCUCCCCCUGCGGGCUCUUCCCAGGCGGCUGCAGGCGGUCCUGAUCUCAGGGAGAAAGUGGGCUCACGGCCACGAGGUCACCAGCCCCCAUCUGGAGGCUCCCAGUGCCUCCUCCGCCCACAGGGCCAGGUUCAAGAGUCAGGUUUCCACCCUUUGCUUUGGGGGAACGAGGCAAUUACAGCUAAGAAAUCAAAUCCUCGUGUGGAGCUGCUUUCCCCACGCCUGGCUCCUGGCCCUGGCCGGCCUCCGUUGCAGCGGGGCCGGGGCGCCUGGCCUGUCCCUGGCCCCUCCUGGCCCCAACAGGGAUGGGGCAAGGGGCUUUGGAGAACCAGGGGGUCAGCAGAGCAGCCCCCAAGAGCAGCGAGUUCUCUGUUCGGAGGUGGAUGACCCAACCAGGCGCCAGCUCCCCGCGCGGGCACAGCCCCCGGCUUGCCGCUCCCUCAGGAGCGCUCCGGCAGGGUGGCCGCGGGCCCCGGCCUGCGAGCUGGCUCUGGGUCCUCCGGGCAGUCGUUGGCACUGAGCUGUGUCCUGGGAUUCGCGGUCCCACGUCCCCUCCCCGUGACUCUCUGCUGGACAGUAAGCUCCCCGUGAGAGGGACAGGCCCUGGAUCCUGCCCGCACCCCUUCCUGGA